GACGAACGCUGGCGGCGUGCUUAACACAUGCAAGUCGAACGGUGAAGCGCCUUCCUUUUUGGUGGGUGUGGAUGAGUGGCGAACGGGUGAGUAACACGUGAGUAACCUGCCCCCUUCUUCUGGAUAACCGCAUGAAAGUGUGGCUAAUACGGGAUAUUCUGGGUCUGUCGCAUGAUGGGUCUGGGAAAGAUAUUGUUUCGGUGGGGGAUGGGCUCGCGGCUUAUCAGCUUGUUGGUGGGGUGAUGGCCUACCAAGGCGGUGACGGGUAGCCGGCCUGAGAGGGUGGACGGUCACACUGGGACUGAGACACGGCCCAGACUCCUACGGGAGGCAGCAGUGGGGAAUAUUGCACAAUGGGCGCAAGCCUGAUGCAGCGACGCCGCGUGAGGGAUGGAGGCCUUCGGGUUGUGAACCUCUUUCGCCAGUGAAGCAGGCCUGCCUCGUUUGUGGGUGGGUUGACGAUAGCUGGAUAAGAAGCGCCGGCUAACUACGUG
rnacentral:rRNA from 1 species